UACGAAGGGUGCAAGCGUUACUCGGAAUUACUGGGCGUAAAGCGUGCGCAGGCGGUGCGCCAAGCUCGAUGUGAAAGCCCCGGGCUUAACCUGGGAAUUGCAUUGAGGACUGGCGUGCUCGAGUGCGGCAGAGGGGGGUGGAAUUCCACGUGUAGCAGUGAAAUGCGUAGAGAUGUGGAGGAACACCGAUGGCGAAGGCAGCCCCCUGGGCCGACACUGACGCUCAUGCACGAAAGCGUGGGGAGCAAACAGG
rnacentral:rRNA from 1 species